UACGUAGGUCCCGAGCGUUGUCCGGAUUUAUUGGGCGUAAAGCGAGCGCAGGUGGUUUAUUAAGUCUGGUGUAAAAGGCAGUGGCUCAACCAUUGUAUGCAUUGGAAAGUGGUAGACUUGAGUGCAGGAGAGGAGAGUGGAAUUCCAUGUGUAGCGGUGAAAUGCGUAGAUAUAUGGAGGAACACCGGUGGCGAAAGCGGCUCUCUGGCCUGUAACUGACACUGAGGCUCGAAAGCGUGGGGAGCAAGCAGG
rnacentral:rRNA from 1 species